GACGAACGCUGGCGGCGUGCUUAACACAUGCAAGUCGAACGGAAAGGCCCUGCUUUUGUGGGGUGCUCGAGUGGCGAACGGGUGAGUAACACGUGAGUAACCUGCCCUUGACUUUGGGAUAACUUCAGGAAACUGGGGCUAAUACCGGAUAGGAGCUUCUGCUGCAUGGUGGGGGUUGGAAAGUUUCGGCGGUUGGGGAUGGACUCGCGGCUUAUCAGCUUGUUGGUGGGGUAGUGGCUUACCAAGGCUUUGACGGGUAGCCGGCCUGAGAGGGGGACCGGCCACAUUGGGACUGAGAUACGGCCCAGAGUCCUACGGGAGGCAGCAGUGGGGAAUAUUGCACGAUGGGCGGAAGCCUGAUGCAGCAACGCCGCGUGCGGGAUGAUGGCCUUCGGGUUGUAAACCGCUUUCGCCUGUAACGAAGCGUGAGUGACGGUAAUGGGUAAAGAAGCACCGGCUAACUACGUG
rnacentral:rRNA from 1 species